GGGGUGCUUCAGCAGCAGUGCAAUGACGAGCAUGCACAGGAUUGAUUGUAUUUUCCUUGGAUGGCUUUCUUGAGCCUUGGAAAUCUGGCUCACUGGGAAUUCUAGGCUUCUGUUGUCCCUUGCUUCCUAUCUUGUGUCCGGAAUUUAUUCCUUCCGGUGGGUUCCUGGUCUCGCUGACUUCAACAAUGAAGUCGCAGACCUUCACAGUGAGUGUUACAGCUCUUAAAGAUGGUCUGUCCAGAGUUUGUUCCUUCAGAUGUAUCUGGAGUUUCUUCUUUCCGGUGGGUUCAUGGUCUCGCUGACUUCAGGAGUAAAGCCACAGACCUUCACAUCUCACUCUGUGGCCCAGGCUGGAGUGCAGUGGCUUGAUGUCAGCUCACUGCAACCUCUGCCUCCCCGGCUCAAGCAAUUCUCAUGUCUCAACCCCCUGAAGUAGCUGGGAUUACAGGAAAUAUUUGGCAACAUUUUCAGACAUCUUUGAUCAUCACAGUGGGGAGUAAAGCCAGCUGCAAUUAUAAAGAUGCACACACACAAAAGAGAAAGAGGAGCAGAAAGAGUGAAGAAAACAUGUCCAUUUAUCAGAAAAUAAAUAUACAAGUACAAUAGAAGAAAAAGGGGUAGAAAACAUUUUGAAGAUUUAGAAAGGUAGAAGAAAAGGGGGUAGAAAACAUUUUGAAGAUUUAGAAAGGUAAGUUCAUUACCACAUAAAAUAUCUUUCUAAAGCUCCGUUCUUUCAAGUGAUUUUUUUCUUAAAAUUUCCCUUUGUGUUCUGAAUUUGCCUUUAAACUAUUGCUGAAACUAUCUCAGACAGUAUAUUUUUAAUGAUUUAAUUCUUAGAGAAUCUCCUCUGGGUGAACGCUAGGGACAGGGAUUGUUCUAUAGAUGGCAAUGGUAAUAGGCAAAGAGGUAAUAAUUUGAGUGUUAGAUAAAAAUCCAGGUCAAAGCUGCUUUACUACUCUAUUUCAAAUCAUUUUUAAAAGCUAUCAUUAGAUAUUGUCUUUACCUAUUAAUAUUAAAAGACUACUAGCAGUAUUAAAUUAUGCAACAAUUAGUACUUUCUGUAAGCAAU
rnacentral:lncRNA from 1 species